UGCAACGAAAGUUUACAUCAUUUUUUAAGAUUGCGUUGUAAAGAAAAUUCAAAUUGACCGAAUAAGAAACUUUCCCAAACUAUCUUAAGCCGGUUUUCCACUAGGCGGAAAUUUUCUUUGUCUUGUGAUCCUUCGAGUGGAAUUAAUUAGAAAAGCAAAUUCAGCAUACAGGCCGUGGGCCAAAAUUAUUUCGCUUCGUGGCACCCAUGUGGGAAGGACUUGGUUUAUGGUUUAUUUGAAAGGCAUACAAGUAUAUAUUACUACCAAAAAAAGCUCCCAAGCAAAAAAACUUGCCCAAUACUGAGAAAAUGGGUGAUCAAUGAUUAUCCUCUAUUAAAUUGUAUAACAG
rnacentral:lncRNA from 1 species